UACGUAGGGGACUAGCGUUAUCCGGAAUUACUGGGCGUAAAGGGUGCGUAGGUGGUUUCUUAAGUCAGAGGUGAAAGGCUACGGCUCAACCGUAGUAAGCCUUUGAAACUGGGGAACUUGAGUGCAGGAGAGGAGAGUGGAAUUCCUAGUGUAGCGGUGAAAUGCGUAGAUAUUAGGAGGAACACCAGUUGCGAAGGCGGCUCUCUGGACUGUAACUGACACUGAGGCACGAAAGCGUGGGGAGCAAACAGG
rnacentral:rRNA from 1 species